CCCUCAAUCACAUUACUCUUAUCCAAUUACAUUUUAACCCUGUUACCAAGUGUAAACAACCAAAAAAUGUGUACUACAGUUACUGAAUAGAAACAUCUGUGUCAUGUUUGUGGGUCCUAUAUACUCAACUCAUAACAAAUCCCCGUCUUAAAAAAAUGCAGCUUUACCGUUCUCCUUUAAUUGAACCAGAAAUAGAAGAAGACAAUGAAUACACAACAAAGAAGAAAGAUGAGAGUAAGAUAUUUCAUCUGAACAAUGAUAGGAUGUUUGAUGCUCUACAAAAACGUUGGAGAAAAACGACGAACGACUAAUGACGAUGGAACCUUGCCAAUCAAUUGAACCUACUGGUAAAGAGAACAGUGCACAUCCUAGAAAUAAGUUGCGACCUUUCAGCAGAUGAAACCUUAUCAUGCUUCUCAACUC
rnacentral:lncRNA from 1 species